AGUGCAUCGGGUAAGACCGAUGCUUUUCUUGACUCUUCAAAGGUCUUGGAAUAAGGGGUGGGUAAGGACGGUGCCAGCCGCCGCGGUAAUACCGGCGCCUCAAGUGGUAGUCGCUUUUAUUGGGCCUAAAACGUCCGUAGCCGGUUUGGUACAUUCGUGGGUAAAUCAAGGCGCUCAACGUCUUGAAUUCUGCGAGCACGGCCAGACUUGGGACCGGGUGAGGUGUGGGGUACUCUCAGGGUAGGGGUAAAAUCCUGUCAUCCUGAGAGGACCACCUGUUGCGAAGGCGCCACACUAGAACGGAUCCGACGGUCAGGGACGAAGCCUAGGGGCACGAACCGGAUUAGAUACCCGGGUAGUCCUAGGUGUAAACGCUGUGGACUUGAUGUUGGGAGUGCUCCGAGCACCCUCAGUGUCGAAGCGAAGGUGAUAAGUCCACUGCCUGGGGAGUACGGUCGCAAGGCUGAAACUUAAAGGA
rnacentral:rRNA from 1 species